rnacentral:rRNA from 1 species
GACGAACGCUGGCGGCGUGCUUAACACAUGCAAGUCGAACGGAAAGGCCCUGCUUUUGUGGGGUUCUCGAGUGGCGAACGGGUGAGUAACACGUGAGUAACCUGCCCUUGACUUUGGGAUAACUUCAGGAAACUGGGGCUAAUACCGGAUAGGAGCUCCUGCUGCAUGGUGGGGGUUGGAAAGUUUCGGCGGUUGGGGAUGGACUCCCGGCUUAUCAGCUUGUUGGUGGGGUAGUGGCUUACCAAUGCUUUGACGGGUAGCCGGCCUGAGAGGGUGACCGGCCACAUUGGGACUGAGAGACGGCCCAGACUCCUACGGGGGGCAGCAGUGGGGAAUAUUGCACAAUGGGGGGAAGCCUGAUGCAGCAACGCCGCGUGCGGGAUGACGGCCUUCGGGUUGUAAACCGAUUUCGCCUGUGACGAAGCGUGAGUGACGGUAAUGGGUAAAGAAGCACCGGCUAACUACGUG